UGAUCUUCAGAGCUUAUUGAAUCAACUAAUUUCAUCAUCAUCUACUCUUGUUGUUUCAUCAGGUAAUCGAUGGCUUCUUGAUUCUGCCUGUUGUAAUCAUAUGACCUCUGACUCUUCUCUUAUGUCUACUUCUAGCCCUACAAAAUCUUUACCUCCUAUUUAUGCUGCUGAUGGUAAUUGUAUGAACAUCUCUCAUACUGGUACCAUUGAUACUCCCAGUGUACAUCUUCCCCAUACUUACUGUGUUCCUAACCUGACCUUUAAUCUAGUGUCUGUUGGUCAAUUAUGUGAUCUUGGCUUAAAUGUUUCAUUUUCUCCCAAUGGUUGUCAGGUUCAGGAUCCGCAGACGGGACGGACGAUUGGAACGGGUCGCAAAGUGGGAAGAUUGUUUGAGCUCACAUCACUUCGGGUUUCAUCUCCUUCUUCCAUCUCUGCUUCAGUCACUGAUUCUGACACAUAUCAGUGGCAUCUUCGUCUUGGUCAUGCUUCCUCUG
rnacentral:lncRNA from 1 species